CACGUAGGCGGCUAUUCAAGUCAGAGGUGAAAGCCCGGGGCUCAACCCCGGAACUGCCUUUGAAACUAGAUAGCUUGAAUCCAGGAGAGGUGUGUGGAACUCCGAGUGUAGAGGUGAAAUUCGUAGAUAUUCGGAAGAACACCAGUGGCGAAGGCGACACACUGGCUCAUUACUGACGCUGAGGCUCGAAAGCGUGGGGAGCAAACA
rnacentral:rRNA from 1 species